CGCAAUGAGUCUUGGAUGAAGGUGGGCCUUUAAGCAAGGAAACAUCGGCAGCAGCGAGAACUCACAUCUGAAAAUGAACGAGAAACGGCUGCGAAAUCACAAAAA